UUCUUCAUAGUGUUGAUGGUCUUUAC
rnacentral:piRNA from 1 species